GACGUAGGAGGCGAGCGUUGUCCGGAUUCAUUGGGCGUAAAGAGCUCGUAGGCGGCUUGGCAAGUCGGGUGUGAAAACUUCAGGCUCAACCUGGAGCGGCCACUCGAUACUGCCAUGGCUUGAGUCCGGUAGGGGACCACGGAAUUCCUGGUGUAGCGGUGAAAUGCGCAGAUAUCAGGAGGAACACCGGUGGCGAAGGCGGUGGUCUGGGCCGGCAUUGACGCUGAGGCGCGAAAGCCAGGGGAGCAAACGGG
rnacentral:rRNA from 1 species